CGUAGGGAGCGAGCGUUGUCCGGAAUUACUGGGUGUAAAGGGAGCGUAGGCGGGACGGCAAGUCAGAUGUGAAACUAUGGGCUCAACCCAUAGACUGCAUUUGAAACUGUUGUUCUUGAGUGAGGUAGAGGUAAGCGGAAUUCCUGGUGUAGCGGUGAAAUGCGUAGAGAUCAGGAGGAACAUCGGUGGCGAAGGCGGCUUACUGGGCCUUUACUGACGCUGAGGCUCGAAAGCGUGGGGGAGCAAACAGGAUU
rnacentral:rRNA from 1 species